rnacentral:rRNA from 1 species
AUAUGGUCAAGUGAAGAAGCGCAUACGGUGGAUGCCUUGGCAGUCAGAGGCGAUGAAAGACGUGGUAGCCUGCGAAAAGCUUCGGGGAGUCGGCAAACAGACUUUGAUCCGGAGAUGUCUGAAUGGGGGAACCCAGCCAUCAUAAGAUGGUUAUCUUGUACUGAAUACAUAGGUGCAAGAGGCGAACCAGGGGAACUGAAACAUCUAAGUACCCUGAGGAAAAGAAAUCAACCGAGAUUCCCUUAGUAGUGGCGAGCGAACGGGGACUAGCCCUUAAGUGGCUUUGAGAUUAGCGGAACGCUCUGGAAAGUGCGGCCAUAGUGGGUGAUAGCCCUGUACGCGAAAAUCUCUUAGUCAUGAAAUCGAGUAGGACGGAGCACGAGAAACUUUGUCUGAAUAUGGGGGACCAUCCUCCAAGGCUAAAUACUACUGACUGACCGAUAGUGAACUAGUACCGUGAGGGAAAGGCGAAAAGAACCCCGGAGAGGGGAGUGAAAUAGAUCCUGAAACCGUAUGCGUACAAGCAGUGGGAGCCCACUUUGUUGGGUGACUGCGUACCUUUUGUAUAAUGGGUCAGCGACUUAUUUUCAGUGGCGAGCUUAACCGAAUAGGGGAGGCGUAGCGAAAGCGAGUCUUAAUAGGGCGUCUAGUCGCUGGGAAUAGACCCGAAACCGGGCGAUCUAUCCAUGGGCAGGUUGAAGGUUGGGUAACACUAACUGGAGGACCGAACCGACUACCGUUGAAAAGUUAGCGGAUGACCUGUGGAUCGGAGUGAAAGGCUAAUCAAGCUCGGAGAUAGCUGGUUCUCCUCGAAAGCUAUUUAGGUAGCGCCUCAUGUAUCACUGUAGGGGGUAGAGCACUGUUUCGGCUAGGGGGUCAUCCCGACUUACCAAACCGAUGCAAACUCCGAAUACCUACAAGUGCCGAGCAUGGGAGACACACGGCGGGUGCUAACGUCCGUCGUGAAAAGGAAACAACCCAGACCGUCAGCUAAGGUCCCAAAGUUAUGGUUAAGUGGGAAACGAUGUGGGAAGGCUUAGACAGCUAGGAGGUUGGCUUAGAAGCAGCCACCCUUUAAAGAAAGCGUAAUAGCUCACUAGUCGAGUCGGCCUGCGCGGAAGAUGUAACGGGGCUCAAACCAUACACCGAAGCUACGGGUAUCACGUAAGUGAUGCGGUAGAGGAGCGUUCUGUAAGCCUGUGAAGGUGAGUUGAGAAGCUUGCUGGAGGUAUCAGAAGUGCGAAUGCUGACAUGAGUAACGAUAAUGGGUGUGAAAAACACCCACGCCGAAAGACCAAGGUUUCCUGCGCAACGUUAAUCGACGCAGGGUUAGUCGGUCCCUAAGGCGAGGCUGAAAAGCGUAGUCGAUGGAAAACAGGUUAAUAUUCCUGUACUUCUGGUUAUUUGCGAUGGGAGGGACGGAGAAGGCUAGGCCAGCUUGGCGUUGGUUGUCCAAGUUUAAGGUGGUAGGCUGGAAUCUUAGGUAAAUCCGGGAUUCUAAGGCCGAGAGCUGAUGACGAGUUAACUUUUAGUUAACGAAGUGGUUGAUGCCAUGCUUCCAAGAAAAGCUUCUAAGCUUCAGGUAACCAGGAACCGUACCCAAACCGACACAGGUGGUUGGGUAGAGAAUACCAAGGCGCUUGAGAGAACUCGGUGAAGGAACUAGGCAAAAUGGCACCGUAACUUCGGAGAAGGUGCGCCGGUGAGGGUGAAGGACUUGCUCCGUAAGCCCAUGCCGGUCGAAGAUACCAGGCCGCUGCGACUGUUUAUUAAAAACACAGCACUCUGCAAACACGAAAGUGGACGUAUAGGGUGUGACGCCUGCCCGGUGCCGGAAGGUUAAUUGAUGGGGUUAGCUAACGCGAAGCUCUUGAUCGAAGCCCCGGUAAACGGCGGCCGUAACUAUAACGGUCCUAAGGUAGCGAAAUUCCUUGUCGGGUAAGUUCCGACCUGCACGAAUGGCGUAACGAUGGCGGCGCUGUCUCCACCCGAGACUCAGUGAAAUUGAAAUCGCUGUGAAGAUGCAGUGUAUCCCGCGGCUAGACGGAAAGACCCCGUGAACCUUUACUAUAGCUUUGCACUGGACUUUGAAUUUUGCUUGUGUAGGAUAGGUGGGAGGCUUUGAAGCGUGGACGCCAGUCUGCGUG